ACUCUUUCACAUUUGGGGACAUCAGUGCACUACCUUCAAAUCGGCAGCACUGCUAUGGCUACCCACAUGGCCCCACAAUAUGCCAACAUUUUUAUGGCUGACUUAGAACAACGCUUCCUCAGCUCUUGUCCCCUAAUGCCCCUACUCUACUUGCACUACAUUGAUGACAUCUUCAUCAU